AAGACCGCCUUUGUACACUGUUUUAUUUUUAUUUGUAAUAUGUUAUUGUGUUGAUUGUUGUUGUGUACAAUAAAGAGUAUCUAUCUAUCUAUCUAUCUUCAUCACCACCGUCAUUGUUAUGUAAACCUACGAAAAUAAAUAAUGAAACUAAAAAAAAACGAAUUAAUGACAGUACUAACUACAUAGUUGGCUCAAAAAAAAGGAAAAAAAUUAGUUUAUAAUCUACACCAUACUACCUUGAUCAUCUUCAUCAUCACCAUCAACUAAACGUAGAAAAAUAAGAAAAAUCAACUCGAAUUUGAAGGACAUAAAUAUGCAUAUGGAAAUAGCACAUGAAGACAGUACAUUAGCAACAAUUGCUGAUAAUCCCUUUUCAUCAUCAUCAUAAAUCUGAAACAGAAGCUGAAAUGAAUAUAUUACCAGCUAGAUCAUCAUCAACAAAAAAUACUGUAUCCAGUGAUUCUUUGCUGGAAUGUAUCAAACAUAAUUAUAACAGUCUAUCAAAACAAUUAGCUUUAAAAGGCCAUAUCUGCUGACGUUCCCAAAUCCUAUCUGAAAUAAAAAAAUAACAGUACUCAGCUGUUAGAUUUCAGUUUAUUAACAGAUCCUGAAGGAAAUCCAGUGGUCCAAAAAUUAGAAUUUCCGCUAUCAACAAUGGAAGAUAUUAUUUUGAUAAACUCAAUGAAAAAUUAAAAGGCCAAAAAUAUAAAAAUAAAAUGAAUAAACGUAUAUACUUUUCUCUUGAUGGAAAAAAUACUUUUACCCGUAAUAUGGGAAAUAUUACUCGUGUUUAUAUAUCAAGAGAUGUCAUAUGUAGCAGUUAAAGCAACUUCAAAAAAAAAUUUUCAAAGAUACGACUUUUUCACUUCUAUAAAAAGUAUGUUAAUCAUUAUAUAGUGCAGAAUUACUAUCAUUGAUACCUAAUUAAUUAUUUCUUAA
rnacentral:misc_RNA from 1 species